AUUGAACGCUGGCGGCAGGCCUAACACAUGCAAGUCGAACGAGUGGCGGACGGGUGAGUAAUGUCUGGGAAACUGCCUGAUGGAGGGGGAUAACUACUGGAAACGGUAGCUAAUACCGCAUACCAUCAGAUGUGCCCAGAUGGGAUUAGCUAGUUGGUGGGGUAACGGCUCACCAAGGCGACGAUCCCUAGCUGGCCUGAGAGGAUGACCGGCCACACUGGGACUGAGAAACGGCCCAGACUCCUACGGGAGGCAGCAGUGGGGAAUAUUGGACAAUGGGCGAAAGUCUGAUCGAGCAACGCCGCGUGUAUGAAGAAGGCUUUCGGGUUGUAAAGCACUGUCAGCGGAGAGGCGUUACCCGAAGAAGAAGCAACGGCUAACUCCGUGCCAGCAGCCGCGGUAAUAC
rnacentral:rRNA from 1 species